CCAUUCAUUUCAAUGUAGCGUCAAUUUGUCACACCAGAGUACCAGAGGAUCCUCUGGUGGGCUCAGGCUCUAAUGCCAUAGUGGGCCUCAAAGAUCCAGGACAAAAAAUAAUUUGGAGCUGCCUUUGAAGCCAAUAACUUACAAC